rnacentral:misc_RNA from 1 species
AAAGUCGUAACAAGGUUUCCGUAGGUGAACCUGCGGAAGGAUCAUUAACACGUAUCCACGUUUAUCACCCGAGAAUUAUCUUAGGAUCAAACUUAUUCGAAUAAAGCCUGAUACGAUCUCUCGAGAGGGAGAAAGUGUUGAGCCCGGCCCUACUUUUCGUUGUGGCCAUUGAAUUUGUUUUCCUUUGUUUGUACACCUUUACUUUGUUUUCUCCGGAUUACUUAGUAACUGAGUACAACAUACCCUCUGAGGACUUCGGUUCUCCUAGGGUAACUGUAAACCCCUUUUUUCUCAACUAAAGGCCGUCUCUUUGUAGACCGCUUUUAACCGAAUGCUGUACAACUCUUAGCAACGGAUAUCUUGGUUCUG